rnacentral:tRNA from 1 species
UUGGGGUAUAGCCAAGCGGUAAGGCAAGGGACUUUGACUCCCUCAAACGUUGGUUCGAAUCCAGCUACCCCAGU